GAUUAAAGCCCCUUCGGGGGUGUAUAAAGUGGCGUAAGGGCGAGGAAUACAUUUCCACGUACCCCGAGGUCGAGGAUAGCCCAGGGAAACUUGGAGUAAUACUCGAUGUGGUGCUUCGGCAUCAAAGGCUUCGGUCGCCUUGGGAGCGGGGAAUGUCCUAUCAGGUUGUUGGUGAGGUAACGGCUCACCAAGCCUAUGACGGGUAGCGGGUGUGAGAGCAUGACCCGCCGCAUCGGGACUGAGACACUGCCCGGACUCCUACGGGAGGCUGCAGCAACGAAUCUUCCGCAAUGCGCGAAAGCGUGACGGAGCAAUGCCGCGUGCAGGAUGAAGCCCUUAGGGGUGUAAACUGCUGUCAGAGUCCAGCAACACAAUGAGCAGACUCAAAGGAAGGGCCGGCUAACUUCGUGCCAGCAGCCGCGGUAAUACGAAGGGCCCGAGCGUUGCGCGGAAUCACUGGGCUUAAAGCGUACGUAGGCGGACAUGCAGGCAUUUUGUGAAAUCCCUCGGCUCAACCGAGGAAUUGCAGGGUGAACCGCAUGUCUUGAGGUGAGUAGGGGCUGUCGGAACGAUAGGUGGAGCGGUGAAAUGCGUUGAUAUCUAUCGGAACGCCAAAGGCGAAGGCAGGCAGCUGGGCUUAUUCUGACGCUGAGGUACGAAAGCGUGGGGAGCGAACGGGAUUAGAUACCCCGGUAGUCCACGCCGUAAACGAUGUGCACUAGAUCGAGGGGGUUCUGACGCCAUUCUCGGUCGAAGC
rnacentral:rRNA from 1 species